GUGGAUAUAGCUCAGUGGUAGAGCACUUGCUUAGCACACAUGAGGUCCUGGGUUCUAUUCCCAGUACCUUCA
rnacentral:tRNA from 1 species